rnacentral:rRNA from 1 species
CGGCGUACGGACGCGCGCCUCGAUGCCUUCGGUCGUUUCACGGCUGUUGGCACGGGUCGCGUCCGUCGACGUCCGAGGACGGCGUGCACUUCUCUCUUAGUAAAUACAUCGCGACCCGUUCGAUGUCGGUCUAAGCGCCGUACGGGAGCCCCGUUGCCCCUUCGCGGGGGUAGUGGGACCGCGACGGUGGCCGACCGGCCGUCGGACGGUAGUUCUGACGAAUCGCGCACGCGUUCUACACGCGUCCGGCCCGACGCAAGUCAACGUCGUAUCAUACGUCUACGCCAUAGUGCGGACGUGUGUGCGGCGCGUCUGGUGUCGCAGCC